ensembl:snRNA U6 U6 spliceosomal RNA
GUGAUAGUGUCAGCAGCACGUAUACUAAAAGUCGGGAUGAUACAGAGAAGAAUAGCAUGGUCCCUGUGUGAGGAUGACAUGCAAAUUUGUGGUGUCCCAUAUUUUU